ACGAACGCUGGCGGCGUGCCUAAUACCUGCAAGUAGAACGCUGAAGGAGGAGCUUGCUUCUCCGGAUGAGUUGCGAACGGGUGAGUAACGCGUAGGUAACCUGCCUGGUAGCGGGGGAUAACUAUUGGAAACGAUAGCUAAUACCGCAUAACAGUAGAUAUCGCAUGAUAUCUGCUUGAAAGGUGCAAUUGCAUCACUACCAGAUGGACCUGCGUUGUAUUAGCUAGUUGGUGAGGUAACGGCUCACCAAGGCGACGAUACAUAGCCAACCUGAGAGGGUGAUCGGCCACACUGGGACUGAGACACGGCCCAGACUCCUACGGGAGGCAGCAGUAGGGAAUCUUCGGCAAUGGACGGAAGUCUGACCGAGCAACGCCGCGUGAGUGAAGAAGGUUUUCGGAUCGUAAAGCUCUGUUGUAAGAGAAGAACGAGUGUGAGAGUGGAAAGUUCACACUGUGACGGUAUCUUACCAGAAAGGGACGGCUAACUACGUG
rnacentral:rRNA from 1 species